CAAAGCAUUUGGUCAAGUAAGUUGACUUCUCAUAUGUGAUCUCAUCUUCUGACUGUACAGCCUGAAAUUCUAAUACAACGGCAUCCAUGCAGCGAUGAUGGAUAUGUGAAAUCAGUGGCCGAGUUAAUUGAGAAGGAGGUAUCAAUUUUUACAAAUUCUGAAGAGCAACGCAUGUAGUGCUGGCGGAAGGAGAUGGGGCUGAGUCAAUAUAAA